rnacentral:rRNA from 1 species
UACGUAGGAUGCAAGCGUUGUCCGAAUUCACUGGGCGUAAAGCGCGUGCAGGCGGUUCGGUAAGUUUGAUGUGAAAUCUCCUGGCUCAACUGGGAGAGGACGUUCAAGACUGUCGGACUAGAGGACGGUAGAGGAAGGUAGAAUUCCCGGUGUAGUGGUGAAAUGCGUAGAUAUCGGGAGGAAUACCAGUGGCGAAGGCGGCCUUCUGGGCCGUUCCUGACGCUCAGACGCGAAAGCUAGGGGAGCAAACGGG